UAAUGGAUCAUAGCUGGUUUGCACUUUGCUGCCUCUCUAGAUGGCCUAAAUUCAGCGUCAAAGCUACUGCAGAACUCCCCUCUGUGGCAUCCCAAUUGUAUGUGGUGAACUGUCGUUUUUGUUGUAUCCCCACUGCAUGCACUUAAAUCCUUAAAAAGCUGGCACGUAUCAGUAGAGCUUAAAAAUUAAUUCUAAAUCAGUAAACUCGUUUAUGAGUAUUUACAAAGGAGUUUGGACAGGCUGAGCUGAGCGGAUCAUAAAGAAUUGUUCAUUAUACAGCUGGAGAGGUGUGGAUUGUGCCAUGGCUCAGGCUGCAAUGUAAGGCCAAAUUCCUUUCCUGUGAGCUUGACUGUGUGAUUGCUGCCAAGUCACAGGAGUCCAUAAAGGCACUCACAAACUGAUAUACAGUGCAAUCCAUAGAGAGCAUCUGGAAGGAGAAGCGUUCUGCUCGACAAAAAGGAACAUUCUCUGCCACUCAGCACAUGAGAGUUCACCACUUGCAAGCCUUUGUAUCUGGUAUUUAAUGUCCCCAAGCUAGUUUGAAAAUAAUUGCUCUUUUCAAAUAGCCUAUAUAACCUGAAGUGAAGUGAGAUGAUUAAGAUAAUUUAUUUUGGUUAUUUUGCUGUUUGAAAGAAAUGGUUAAUUAUGAUACAGAGCAAGCAGACACCAAGCUAGGUAAAUUGGCUUGUAACACAUGUUCUUCGGUUUUCUCUUAGAGAGAAAAAUGUGUUCUCUGUACUUCAUUCUAGCUUCUGGCUUUUAUCACUGACAACACAGGAACACAACCUGCCUCAAAGCACUGCCCCGGAAUGUCAGCCCUUGCCUCAGCGAGCUCCAUGCCCCAGCAAGCCGGCGCAGCAGCGGGCUGGUCCCGAGCACCAGCCCCGUGAGUGUGGCUCGGUUCUGCAGGGCCACACGGGGUGCCAGCAGCUCAGCAGCCCUUUUCCUCCUUGACCAGGUUCUCCGGGGAGAAGGAACAUGCAGAAACAAGAACAGGAAGGACUUUGCAGAAUCACAGACGAAGUGCCGCUUGCAAUUCUCUUUUUAGGUUUUCCAAGUGAUGACAGAAAUGUUAAAUUUUUCUUCUCUUGCUUUCAGACUGCAUUUUUCAACAUUUUCAGCCUCUUUAUUUGUCUUUCAUCUCCCGAGAAAAUUUGAAUGAAGAUGUAAAUGAAACAUGAGCGUUUGACACCACACAUGGAUCCAGAAAUGUGUAUUUAACAGCGCAGGGCUCACUAGGAAGGAGCCAGGCAAAAUUUUCUGAGGGCUGCGAAGAAACUUUCUUGCUGUAUGUGUGCAUACCUUAGCCCGCUCUUACCAGUUUUAAUGCCAUGCCCCAGAGGAGCAUACUUCAACAUAAAAAGAAAAGAUACAACAUUGAAAAUACGUAAUUUCAGCCUGUAGAAACGAAAAGCCAAAGCACUGUAGAUAAGACCAGGUAUAACUAUGAGCAGCGUUGUACCAGGAACCACAGUCCACAGAGCUCCCAGUCACUCGAGGACCACCAGCACUGUCACCCAGCUCAAACCUUUGACAAGUCUUGGGCCAUGCCCUAGCUCCCUACAGCAGGACAGCAUCCCAGGCCAUGUUCCAGUGCAUUCAGCACAGCUCGGCUUUUGUUUCCACAGCCAUCAAAACCAGCAGAAAGGGGCAAAGUUGAAACCUGAAGGAUGUACAUUUGAUUCUCUGCUCUGUCAAGAGGUUUCCUAGCUGGUCAUGGACAUGUCAUUUACAUCUUUGCGACUUGACAAAAAACGGGCUCCUUUCCAUCUCAGAGGGCAAUGAUAGAGCUGCAGCUGACCAGGGUAUGAAAUUGAACGCUGAGGUGGCCAUUCAGAAACAAAAAUUAUUCUUGUGACGGCAGCCGUGGCAGCCUGGUGGGAGGAAAGGUGUUCAGCUUAACAAAGCAUCCGCUGGCCUGAGCUGCUUGGCUGUUUCCUGGAGCUCAGUGAGAUGUAAAUGACCUGAGUGCUUCACAGCUGUGGGUGGCAGAACGGCUGAGAGUGAAGGCCAAGAUGAACAGCCAUAGGUAUGCACCACACGUUCUUCAGCGCCUGAUUUUCCCACCUGCAACGCUCUGGGUUGGAGAGUAUCCCAGGGCCAGGAUCCAAGCAUCCUCAAGUAUUCAGGGUAUUUCUGUUCUGCCAUUCCUGGCAAGAUGCAUUGCACAGGGAUGGAAAUCAGACCUGGAUUCCAACUUCCCUGCGUCUGAGGGAAGCCCAACAAGUAAUUCAGUUUUGAGGUUUAAGGCUAGGAAAGCAACAAUUCUAAAUUGUUAUUUUGACAAGUAAUCGUGGAACUAAAUAAAUACUUGUGCUGAAUGCUCUGCGUACUGUGACAUGAUGGCUUGUAAAACAGAUUGCCAGCUGGAACCCUGCCUGCAGCGAGCCUCCUGCCCUGGUCAGAGCGGUGCUGGGGCAGUCAGCACUCGUGUCCUGGGUGCUCCCCAUGACCUGUGGGUGUCCCCCAGUCUCGGGGCCUCAUCUGGGACCUGCCUGCAGGCGAGGGGCCGAGUAAGCGCUGCCCCCACACAAAGCACGUGUUCAGCUUUUCUUCUUAAAUCCUACUCAGUUCUAGGUUACCUAAAACACAGAUUUUGCUGUCAUUUGCCAGAAUUGCCAGUAAAUUCACUGUUCAUUUCCCAUUUUCUUACCAGAAAGCCACUCCCAGCUUUCUCCCAGCAUUUGAGCACCCAGUGAAGCGGUGACAGCUGCACUAAGGCUAAGGAGCGGCUGGGUGAAAUUCUGGUGUCCCCCGGGGGCUGAGGAGGUGGCAGGGCGGCACCACGGCUGCCCACAGCACCUGGCACCGCGUGAGAGAUGAGUCCUUGUGCAUUCCUCACAGGAUUACCGCAAGUGGUAAGCUUUGAGGAAAGGCCUCGAGCACCUGCGGGCUGACCAGCUCUUCCAUCUAUCCAGACUAGUCUAGGUGUUGCCCUCUCCACAGAACUUAGGCGCUUUGUGGACCUGGCAGCCCACGGGACACGCAUCUUUACGUUAACGCCGGGGUAAAUUAAUUCGUGUUUUGGUGAGGUGCGCCUUCGUUUAUUCACCGUGAGGCCCGCGCUCUCUCAAAGCCGGCGUUUCACCAGCCCGCGGGGCUCUGCGGUGCCGGCUACCGGGGCCGGGCUCCCCGUGGAGCGCCCGUGCC